rnacentral:rRNA from 1 species
UAAGGUCACGGCGAGACGAGCCGUUUAUCAUUACGAUAGGUGUCUAGUGGAAGUGCAGUGAUGUAUGCAGCUGAGGCAUCCUAAUAGACCGAGAGAUUUGAAC